rnacentral:rRNA from 1 species
UGCCGGAUCAUUAACGAUCAAAUAUAUCCAUUAAGCUCUGACCAAGCUUAAACAUUGCUGCUAAGAAGGCAUAGUGUUUCAUUCGAGAAGGUGAUACUAAACCGACUCGGCGCUGUGUUGGAAUUGUAGCGGCGGUACAAUCCGCCAUAGUCUGCAAAGAUGGCAUGCUUCUGCCAUGCAGGUGUAGAGUAGUUGUACCGCUCUGUGCCUGGUUUAUUUGUGGGCGAAAAACGGCUUCGUUGGCCACUAAGUUUCCCCGAGCAGUUGUAGUUUGUUAGUCCGUGGCUGCAAUGAAGGGAAGCGGUACGUGGUUUUCGUAAUCGCGAGAGUUAAUGAGCACAAGCUUGGUGCCGCCAACAAAAAACCCCAUUUUACAAAUUUUUGAAGAGAAUAUUUUUAGUCUUAUCGGUGGAUCACUCGGCUCGUAGAUCGAUGAAGAACGCAGCCAGCUGCGAUAAUUAGUGCGAACUGCAGAUAUUUUGAGCACUGAACUUUUGAAUGCACAUUGCGCCAUUGGCUUUUAACCUUUGGCACGUCUGGCUCAGGGUCGUAAAUACAAAACCCCAUGCAAAUGGUGGUGAAAUGCAUUGUGUGGACCGUUGAUGCAUUGCCUAGCACUAGUUUGUUUGUGCUGCUCUUGGGCCUUGCAGGGAAACGCUCCCACUUGAUUGCACAAUGAAAGUCUCGGGUAAAUUAGUAGCAUUGGUUUGUGUCCUAGCGCUUAUAACGGACCGAGUCUUUGUUGCUGAAUGCCAGUAGAUUUUUUGAUUUUUCGACCUGAACUCAGACGUGAUU